rnacentral:rRNA from 1 species
CGCGGCCUAUCAGCUUGUUGGUGGGGUAAUGGCCUACCAAGGCGACGACGGGUAGCUGGCCUGAGAGGGUGACCGGCCACACUGGGACUGAGACACGGCCCAGACUCCUACGGGAGGCAGCAGUGGGGAAUAUUGCACAAUGGGCGCAAGCCUGAUGCAGCGACGCCGCGUGAGGGAUGACGGCCUUCGGGUUGUAAACCUCUUUCAGUAGGGAAGAAGCGAAAGUGACGGUACCUGCAGAAGAAGCACCGGCCAACUACGUGCCAGCAGCCGCGGUAAGACGUAGGGUGCAAGCGUUGUCCGGAUUUAUUGGGCGUAAAGAGCUCGUAGGCGGCUUGUUGCGUCGACCGUGAAAACCUAUCCGCUUAACGGUGGGCAUGCGGUCGAUACGGGCAGGCUAGAGUUCGGUAGGGGAGACUGGAAUUCCUGGUGUAGCGGUGAGAUGCGCAGAUAUCAGGAGGAACACCGGUGGCGAAGGCGGGUCUCUGGGCCGAUACUGACGCUGAGGAGCGAAAGUGUGGGGAGCGAACAGGAUUAGAUACCCUGGUAGUCCAUGCCGUAAACGUUGGGCACUAGGUGUGGAGGACAUUCCACGUUUUCCGCGCCGUAGCUAACGCAUUAAGUGCCCCGCCUGGGGAGUACGG